AGCAUUCUGAAUCCGUGCCAAGAUUUAGUCAGACGCCAGACUAUUAGUACUGAUGAGACUCCCAAGAUAAGAGAGGCA
rfam:Schistosoma margrebowiei strain Zambia genome assembly, scaffold: SMRZ_scaffold0001033